UACAGAGGUCUCAAGCGUUGUUCGGAUUCAUUGGGCGUAAAGGGUGCGUAGGCGGCGCGGUAAGUCGGAUGUGAAAUCUCGGAGCUUAACUUCGAAACUGCAUUCGAUACUGCCGUGCUUGAGGACUGGAGAGGAGACUGGAAUUUACGGUGUAGCGGUGAAAUGCGUAGAUAUCGUAAGGAAGACCAGUGGCGAAGGCGGGUCUCUGGACAGUUCCUGACGCUGAGGCACGAAGGUCAGGGGAGCAAACGGGAUUAG
rnacentral:rRNA from 1 species